AUUACGACAACCCAGCUUAUCAAACCAAGAAUGGAAUUUACUCUGAGGGAUGUGGAUUAGACAAUGUUAUGAUCUCAUGGGCCAUGAUGAUUACAUCCUUACACAAGGAGGGUGCAUACACCUACUUCAUGAACGACGAGGACAAGGAAAAUCUAAAGUGGCUCCAUAUUUUCAACAAAUAUGAUUUAUACACUAAGAGCAAAGUUCUUGUUGAUGUUGAAGCAGUGAAGCCACACUAUCUUUCCCUCAUUGCGAAAUAUUUCCCUGCCAAGCUGAGAUGGUGAAACGUACAGGAUUUGGAUGCAGCCCUGUGACUUAUGUUAUCUAUUAGAUUAGAUUUUUAGUUAUAAUUAAGAAUUUUGUUCUGUCUUUUCGGUUUAUUAAAUAUCCUCUUCUAUUUUGCCAUAAUUUUAUAAAACAAGUACCUGAAAAAGGGUAAUCUGAGCAUGAAUAUUUUAUGUUAU